GCCCUUGGUUUGAUCCUGGCUCAGGACGAACGCUGGCGGCGUGCUUAAUGAAUGCGAGUCGAGCGAAGGGUCGAGAUAAGCUUGCUUAAAUCGGUUCUUAGCGGCGAACGGGUGAGUAACACGUAGGGAUCUGCCUUUUUGACUGGGAUAACAGCGAGAAAUUGCUGCUAAUACCGGAUACGCUGGAGACAGGAAAGGUUUAUGACUGGAAACGGUCAUACGCCGCUUAAAGAGGAACCUGCGGCCCAUCAGCUAGUUGGCGGGGUAACAGCCCACCAAGGCGACGACGGGUAGCCGGUCUGAGAGGAUGAACGGCCACACUGGGACUGAGACAUGGUCCAGACUCCUACGGGAGUUAGCAUCAGGGGAUCUUGCGCAAUGGGCGAAAGCCUGACGCAGCGGCGCCGCGUGGGGGAUGACGGCUCACGGGUUGUAAACCCCUGUCCAGGGGGACGAACAAAUGACGGUACCCCUGGAGGAAGCCACGGCUAACUACGUGCCAGCAGCCGCGGUAAUACGUAGGUGGCAAGCGUUGUCCGGAAUUACUGGGCGUAAAGGGCAGGUAGGCGGUCUGAUAAGUCAUCCGUUAAAGCCCCAGGCUCAACCUGGGAUCUGCAGGUGAUACUGUCAGACUAGAGUGUGCUAGAGGAGAGCGGAACUGCCAGUGUAGCGGUGGAAUGCGUAGAUAUUGGCAGGAACGCCAGUGACGAAGGUGGCUCUCUGGGGCAUGACUGACGCUGAGCUGCGAAAGCCAGGGUAGCGAACGGGAUUAGAUACCCCGGUAGUCCUGGCCGUAAACGAUGGUCACUAGGUGUUGGAGGUAUCGACCCCCCCAGUGCCGCAGUUAACGCAAUAAGUGACCCGCCUGGGGAGUACGGCCGCAAGGCUGAACUCAAGGAAUUGACGGGGGCCCGCACAGCGGGUGGAGCA
rnacentral:rRNA from 1 species